rnacentral:rRNA from 1 species
AGCAGUAGCCGCGGUAAUACAGAGGGUGCGAGCGUUAAUCGGAUUUACUGGGCGUAAAGCGUGCGUAGGCGGCUUUUUAAGUCGGAUGUGAAAUCCCUGAGCUUAACUUAGGAAUUGCAUUCGAUACUGGGAAGCUAGAGUAUGGGAGAGGAUGGUAGAAUUCCAGGUGUAGCGGUGAAAUGCGUAGAGAUCUGGAGGAAUACCGAUGGCGAAGGCAGCCAUCUGGCCUAAUACUGACGCUGAGGUACGAAAGCAUGGGGAGCAAACAGGAUUAGAGACCCCUGUAGUCCCUGUCUCUUAUAC